rnacentral:tRNA from 1 species
GCCUAGUUAGCUUAGUUGGUAGUGCGUCUGCCUUGUAAGCGCUAGGCCGUGGGUUCGAUUCCCGCCUGGGGCG